rnacentral:rRNA from 1 species
GCGGAUGAACUGAGGGUAGCGGAGAAAUUCCAAUCGAACCUGGAGAUAGCUGGUUCUCUCCGAAAUAGCUUUAGGGCUAGCCUCAAGUGAUGAUUAUUGGAGGUAGAGCACUGUUUGGACGAGGGGCCCCUCUCGGGUUACCGAAUUCAGACAAACUCCGAAUGCCAAUUAAUUUAACUUGGGAGUCAGAACAUGGGUGAUAAGGUCCAUGUUCGAAAGGGAAACAGCCCAGACCACCAGCUAAGGUCCCAAAAUAUAUGUUAAGUGGAAAAGGAUGUGGCGUUGCCCAGACAACUAGGAUGUUGGCUUAGAAGCAGCCAUCAUUUAAAGAGUGCGUAAUAGCUCACUAGUCGAGUGACACUGCGCCGAAAAUGUACCGGGGCUAAACAUAUUACCGAAGCUGUGGAUUGUCCUUUGGACAAUGGUAGGAGAGCGUUCUAAGGGCGUUGAAGCAUGAUCGUAAGGACAUGUGGAGCGCUUAGAAGUGAGAAUGCCGGUGUGAGUAGCGAAAGAUGGGUGAGAAUCCCGUCCACCGAUUGACUAAGGUUUCCAGAGGAAGGCUCGUCCGCUCUGGGUUAGUCGGGUCCUAAGCUGAGGCCGACAGGCGUAGGCGAUGGAUAACAGGUUGAUAUUCCUGUACCACCUAUAAUCGUUUUAAUCGAUGGGGGGACGCAGUAGGAUAGGCGAAGCGUGCGAUUGGAUUGCACGUCUAAGCAGUAAGGCUGAGUAUUAGGCAAAUCCGGUACUCGUUAAGGCUGAGCUGUGAUGGGGAGAAGACAUUGUGUCUUCGAGUCGUUGAUUUCACACUGCCGAGAAAAGCCUCUAGAUAGAAAAUAGGUGCCCGUACCGCAAACCGACACAGGUAGUCAAGAUGAGAAUUCUAAGGUGAGCGAGCGAACUCUCGUUAAGGAACUCGGCAAAAUGACCCCGUAACUUCGGGAGAAGGGGUGCUCUUUAGGGUUAACGCCCAGAAGAGCCGCAGUGAAUAGGCCCAAGCGACUGUUUAUCAAAAACACAGGUCUCUGCUAAACCGUAAGGUGAUGUAUAGGGGCUGACGCCUGCCCGGUGCUGGAAGGUUAAGAGGAGUGGUUAGCUUCUGCGAAGCUACGAAUCGAAGCCCCAGUAAACGGCGGCCGUAACUAUAACGGUCCUAAGGUAGCGAAAUUCCUUGUCGGGUAAGUUCCGACCCGCACGAAAGGCGUAACGAUUUGGGCACUGUCUCAACGAGAGACUCGGUGAAAUCAUAGUACCUGUGAAGAUGCAGGUUACCCGCGACAGGACGGAAAGACCCCGUGGAGCUUUACUGUAGCCUGAUAUUGAAAUUCGGCACAGCUUGUACAGGAUAGGUAGGAGCCUUUGAAACGUGAGCGCUAGCUUACGUGGAGGCGCUGGUGGGAUACUACCCUAGCUGUGUUGGCUUUCUAACCCGCACCACUUAUCGUGGUGGGAGACAGUGUCAGGCGGGCAGUUUGACUGGGGCGGUCGCCUCCUAAAAGGUAACGGAGGCGCUCAAAGGUUCCCUCAGAAUGGUUGGAAAUCAUUCAUAGAGUGUAAAGGCAUAAGGGAGCUUGACUGCGAGACCUACAAGUCGAGCAGGGUCGAAAGACGGACUUAGUGAUCCGGUGGUUCCGCAUGGAAGGGCCAUCGCUCAACGGAUAAAAGCUACCCCGGGGAUAACAGGCUUAUCUCCCCCAAGAGUUCACAUCGACGGGGAGGUUUGGCACCUCGAUGUCGGCUCAUCGCAUCCUGGGGCUGUAGUCGGUCCCAAGGGUUGGGCUGUUCGCCCAUUAAAGCGGUACGCGAGCUGGGUUCAGAACGUCGUGAGACAGUUCGGUCCCUAUCCGUCGUGGGCGUAGGAAAUUUGAGAGGAGCUGUCCUUAGUACGAGAGGACCGGGAUGGACAUACCUCUGGUGUACCAGUUGUCGUGCCAACGGCAUAGCUGGGUAGCUAUGUGUGGACGGGAUAAGUGCUGAAAGCAUCUAAGCAUGAAGCCCCCCUCAAGAUGAGAUUUCCCAACUUCGGUUAUAAGAUCCCUCAAAGAUGAUGAGGUUAAUAGGUUCGAGGUGGAAG